GCCGCUAUAAUCCUUUGAACGCNNUUCGAUUCACAUUCGAAAGGUCGUAGGUUCGAAUCCUACAAGGUGCACCA
rnacentral:tRNA from 1 species